rnacentral:tRNA from 2 species
GGGCGGGUGGUGAAAUGGCAUACACGUAGGCUUCAGGAGCCUAUGACCGCAAGGUCGUGAGGGUUCAAGUCCCUCCCCGCCCA